rnacentral:rRNA from 1 species
UACAGGGGGGGCAAGCGUUGUUCGGAAUUACUGGGCGUAAAGGGUCUGUAGGUGGCCAACUAAGUCAGACGUGAAAUCCCUCAGCUUAACUGGGGAACUGCGUCUGAGACUGGUGAGCUUGAGUGCAGGAGAGGAACGCGGAAUUCCAGGUGUAGCGGUGAAAUGCGUAGAUAUCUGGAGGAACACCGGUGGCGAAGGCGGCGUUCUGGACUGCAACUGACACUGAUGAACGAAAGCCAGGGGAGCAAACGGG